rnacentral:rRNA from 1 species
UACGAAGGGGGCUAGCGUUGUUCGGAAUUACUGGGCGUAAAGCGCACGUAGGCGGGUUGUUAAGUCAGGGGUGAAAUCCUGGAGCUCAACUCCAGAACGUGCCCUUUGAUACUGGCAACCUAGAGACUGGAAGAGGUUAGGUGGAAUUCCCAGUUGUAGAGGUGAAAUUCGAUAGAUAUUGGGAAGAACACCAGUGGCGAAGGCGGCUAACUGGUCCAGCACUGACGCUGAGGUGCGAAAGCGUGGGGAGCAAACAGG